rnacentral:lncRNA from 13 species
UGACCAAUCAGAAUGCCUUGAUGUAAGUUGGUGAGUAUGAAAGGAAUGAGUAUCUGCUCACUAUUUUCGUAUUGUAGCAUUUGGUCUUUCCGGUCUUUCCAACAGUACAGAAUAAUAUAUACGAAUUCCGAUCAUUUCAAUUUAUUACUCUUAUUUUGAUACAUUAAUUUAUUAUAUCUUUACUGGACAUAGAACGUGCAUCUCCAAAUCAGAAAGUUUUAUUGCAAGAAGUGUUAUAUAUCAUUUAUGCGAAGGUCUUGCUUCAUAAAUGAAAAAUCAAAGAUUUGCAGCCACUGUUAGAAGAAGUGUCUUUUCACAUGAUUUUACUACAUCCAACGUAGCUACAUGGCUACAUGAGAGGCAAGGAAGUGAAAUAUCAUUUAUGCGAAGGUC